rnacentral:rRNA from 1 species
UACGUAGGAGGCAAGCGUUGUCCGGAAUCACUGGGCGUAAAGCGCGUGUAGGUGGUGGGACAAGUCUGCUGUGAAAGCGCCUGGCUUAACCGGGCGAGGUCGGCGGAAACUGUUCGACUCGAGGACGGUAGAGGGGGGUGGAAUUCCCGGUGUAGUGGUGAAAUGCGUAGAGAUCGGGAGGAACACCUGUGGCGAAGGCGGCCCCCUGGGCCGGGCCUGACACUGAGACGCGAAGGCGUGGGGAGCGAACGGG